GAUGAACGCUGGCGGCGUGCCUAAUACAUGCAAGUCGAGCGAACGGACGAGAAGCUUGCUUCUCUGAUGUUAGCGGCGGACGGGUGAGUAACACGUGGAUAACCUACCUAUAAGACUGGGAUAACUUCGGGAAACCGGAGCUAAUACCGGAUAAUAUUUUGAAUCGCAUGGUUCAAAAGUGAAAGACGGUCUUGCUGUCACUUAUAGAUGGAUCCGCGCUGCAUUAGCUAGUUGGUAAGGUAACGGCUUACCAAGGCAACGAUGCAUAGCCGACCUGAGAGGGUGAUCGGCCACACUGGAACUGAGACACGGUCCAGACUCCUACGGGAGGCAGCAGUAGGGAAUCUUCCGCAAUGGGCGAAAGCCUGACGGAGCAACGCCGCGUGAGUGAUGAAGGUCCUCGGAUCGUAAAACUCUGUUAUUAGGGAAGAACAUAUGUGUAAGUAACUGUGCACAUCUUGACGGUACCUAAUCAGAAAGCCACGGCUAACUACGUG
rnacentral:rRNA from 1 species